UUAUUUUAGACAGGAAAAAAAGGAUUUUCGAUAUGAACAGCAUGAUAACAGUUUAUAUUUUAUGGAGAUAUGGAAAGGUAAAAUUAUCUGUAUCGGGAAAAUAGAUAUAUUAUUAUGGCUAUGGUAUCACAAUAUUUACUUCGUUAUGAUAUUUUCCGUUUUUUUGUAUUAUCUUUAAUAAUAUUUAAUGACAAUAAUUGCAAAAUUAGAAUCAGUGCUUGUUCAUCGAUUGAAGAAGGAUAGAGUAAGUGCUUCACUCAAGAGAAUAAAGCAAUAAUUGAUCACGCGAAAAGUAUGAAAUUCUGUACGAAUGAUUACUUCACGAUGCAGAGCAAUGCAGAUUCUUCGCAUCUAAUGGUAAAUUGCAUGCAUUUCGGUUCUUCUGCUCACUCAAUCAUGUCGUAGAACGAAAAUUCCAAAUCGACACGAAUUGAUUGGUUGUAUUACGAAUUUUUCAUGAGCAUAAUGAUCGCGGAUAUUUAUUACAUCCAUUAGUAGUAACAUUCUUUUUUUUUUUGUUUAUUAUCUCAGGCUAAGUUUUCUUGUACAUUGCUUUA